UAAUACAGAGGGGGCAAGCGUUGUUCGGAAUUACUGGGCGUAAAGGGCGCGUAGGCGGCCGCCUAAGUCAGACGUGAAAUCCCUCGGCUCAACCGGGGAACUGCGUCUGAUACUGGGUGGCUUGAAUUCGGGAGAGGGAUGCGGAAUUCCAGGUGUAGCGGUGAAAUGCGUAGAUAUCUGGAGGAACACCGGUGGCGAAGGCGGCAUCCUGGACCGAGAUUGACGCUGAGGCGCGAAAGCCAGGGGAGCAAACGGGAUUAGAUACCCCGGUAGUCCUGGCCCUAAACGAUGAGUGCUUGGUGUGGCGGGUAUCGAUCCCUGCCGUGCCGAAGCUAACGCAUUAAGCACUCCGCCUGGGGAGUACGGUCGCAAGGCUG
rnacentral:rRNA from 1 species